CUAGUUGCAACAUUAGUGAAGGUGGCAUCGCUCUAGCAAAAGCCGUACAUGGGUCAGCCCCUGAUAUAGCUGGAAAGAAUCUUGCAAACCCAACUGCUCUCCUGCUGAGUUCCGUUAUGAUGUUGCGCCACUUGAGGCUUACUGACAAAGCUGACCAAAUUCACAAUGCUAUACUUAAUACCAUUUCAGAAGGAAAGUAUCGAACGGUUGAUCUUGGUGGGAAUUCGUCAACUACAGAUUUUACAAAGGCAGUAUGCGAUCAUCUUUAGAAAGUUUGUGCUGUGGCAGCACACCCGGAUAGCUGGUAUACAUAGUAAUUGCUAGUUUGAGUCGGUUGUAGAUUGCCCACACUAGUAUAUAUUAAGUUGCAAUCACAUGAAUAAUGCUCUUGGAGUUUUUCCUCGUCUAUUUAUUCCCAAUUUCUUCGAUUGAAGCAAUACAUGUAAUAAUUAACUAAAGGCAUACAGCACGUUGCACUUGCGACUUCUUCUACAUAUUUUUGUCAACACAUUUUGCAUUUUAUGCAUGAAGCGCAAGUGACUACAUUUUAAAAGCUUGA